rnacentral:rRNA from 1 species
GCGCCCUUCGGGGGCGCUAGCGGCGAGGGGUGAGUAACCCUUGGGUGAUCUGCCUUGCACUUCGGGAUAAGCCUGGGAAACUGGGUCUAAUACCGGAUAUGACCUUGGAAUGCAUGUUCUGGGGUGGAAAGAUUUAUCGGUGCGAGAUGGGCCCGCGGCCUAUCAGCUUGUUGGUGAGGUAACGGCUCACCAAGGCGACGACGGGUAGCCGACCUGAGAGGGUGACCGGCCACACUGGGACUGAGACACGGCCCAGACUCCUACGGGAGGCAGCAGUGGGGAAUAUUGCACAAUGGGCGAAAGCCUGAUGCAGCGACGCCGCGUGCGGGAUGACGGCCUUCGGGUUGUAAACCGCUUUUGACAGGGACGAAGCGCAAGUGACUGUACCUGUAGAAUAAGGACCGGCCAACUACGUGCCAGCAGCCGCGGUAAUACGUAGGGUCCGAGCGUUGUCCGGAAUUACUGGGCGUAAGAGCUUGUAGGCGGUUCGUCGCGUCGUUUGUGAAAACUUGGGGCUCAACCUUAAGCUUGCAGGCGAUACGGGCGGACUAGAGUACUUCAGGGGAGACUGGAAUUCCUGGUGUAGCGGUGAAAUGCGCAGAUAUCAGGAGGAACACCGGUGGCGAAGGCGGGUCUCUGGGAAGUAACUGACGCUGAGAAGCGAAAGCAUGGGUAGCAAACAGGAUUAGAUACCCUGGUAGUCCAUGCCGUAAACGGUGGGUACUAGGUGUGGGGCUCCUUCCACGGACUCCGUGCCGUAGCUAACGCAUUAAGUACCCCGCCUGGGGAGUACGGCCGCAAGGCUAAAACUCAAAGAAAUUGACGGGGGCCCGCACAAGCGGCGGAGCAUGUGGAUUAAUUCGAUGCAACGCGAAGAACCUUACCUGGGUUUGACAUACACCGGAAACCUGCAGAGAUGUAGGCCCCCUUGUGGUCGGUGUACAGGUGGUGCAUGGCUGUCGUCAGCUCGUGUCGUGAGAUGUUGGGUUAAGUCCCGCAACGAGCGCAACCCUUAUCUUAUGUUGCCAGCGCGUAAUGGCGGGGACUCGUGAGAGACUGCCGGGGUCAACUCGGAGGAAGGUGGGGACGACGUCAAGUCAUCAUGCCCCUUAUGUCCAGGGCUUCACACAUGCUACAAUGGCCGGUACAGAGGGCUGCGAUACCGCGAGGUGGAGCGAAUCCCUUAAAGCCGGUCUCAGUUCGGAUCGGGGUCUGCAACUCGACCCCGUGAAGUUGGAGUCGCUAGUAAUCGCAGAUCAGC